CAGGGCUCUGCGACAAUUGAAUGAAAGUCACCAGACUCAGACCGACUGUGCCCCAGGCCCGCUGCAAGGCAGCUUGUCCCCUGCGCCCAGGGGUCCAGGGGCUGGAGGGAAUCUGUGAACAUGACUGGAGAAGGCCUGACGUGUGCUGGCAUCCAUGCGCCCCUAUGUCGGGGUCCAGAAAGCAGUCUCCAGGAGCUGGCCACAUAAGCCAUGGGAAGCCAGCAGCCCAAGGAGGAGAGACGUGGAGAACAGACGUGAACUACCGCCCAGCCUUGGAGCUGUGGCUCUGGGCGGGAUCAGCCAAGGCAGAGCCGCGACCGCCGACUGCCACUGGGGAGCACAAUCGUUUUAUGACCGCAUUUAGCAGCCCGCUCGAUGACCUCAGUCGUCACUCGGCUGACAGCAGAGCGAGUGACUCACCCAAGAUGCUCCGAGGGCGGGCAGGGGAUUGCCAGAGGUGGUUCAAGUUCACGUGCAGGCUGCAGGUGCGGGCAGGGUGAGGAAGCCCCAGGACCAGCCCCAGGGCGCUGGGACAGGAGCAGCCGCUGUCAGCGUGUGAUCUCAGCAGUGACUCAGGCCGGGGACUGAGAUGGGCAUACUUAUUUCUGCCAGGGGAUGAUCUGGGUGGAUGCUGUUUGCAGUGGACAGCAUCCUGUGACAACGGGUCAGUAGGACGGCAGAGACUCAGAAGACGCAGCCUGGCCCUGGGAGGCGCUUGGUUUCCUGGAGGAGGGCACUCUGGGAGCUCCACAGCCACGGCUGUAGCCGCGGGCUGGACGUCGGCCAAGCAACAGUCGCCGACUCUGCCCUGGUCAGCGGGAGCCCGUGCCUGGCCUCCGUCCCCCGACGGUGGCUACUUCCUCCAUGCGUCCUCUGUGCCAGCAGCCCGGUAGUCAGAGACGUCAGCCAGGGAGGUCAUCUUGGUAGUUUAGCGUCUCCCGCGGUGGCAAAGCAUUCGAGUUUUGGUGUUGGUUUGUCACGUGGCCACGUUGUAUCCUUGCCACAGUGAUACAGGGAAAAUCUCAGACACACAAAAACAUGGAGAGAAGGGGCUGGCUCUGUGGCAUAGCGGGUAAAGCCGCUGCCUGCAGUGCCGGCAUCUCAUGUGGGCACUGGUUCAAAUCCCGGCUGCCCCUCUUCGAUCCAGCUCUUUGCUAUGGCCUGGGAAACCAGCAGAAGAUGGCCCAAGCCCUUGGGCCCUGCACCCGCAUGGGAGACCCGGAAGAAGCUCCUGGCUCCUGGCUUUGGAUCGGCGCAGUUCUGGCUACAGCGGCCAUUUGGGGAGUGAACCAACGGAAGGAAGACCUUUCUCUCUCUCUCUGUCUACAACUCUACCUGUCAAAUAAGUAAAUGAAUAAAUAUUAAAAAAAAAAAAAAAAGACAAAGACAAAUACAAAGUAUACAUUGAGGCAGGAGUGCAGGCAACCUCAGGAGAAAAUGAGUAUUGCGACAGAGGUGGUGCCGGGGUAGGCCUAAUUGAAUAUUCAAAAGGGGCGGGGUCUGGGGCGGGGUUGCAGUACACAUGGUGACCUCCAGGAAGCAUCUUGGUGUCUGGUGCAUGAUGGGAGGUGAGGCUCCGGGCGGGGGAGUGGUGUGCUGAGCUGCAGCCAUGUUGGAUUGGCACGGAAGGGGGUGUGGUUUGGGUGGUGCAGUCCUCGGCUCCUCUUCUGCCUCUGCCUGUGCCAACAUCGGUCAUUCCCUCUGUAAAGAUUUAUAGAUGUUGUGGUGCAGCGGGUAAGCUGCGGUCAGUGCCAGCACCAUCCCACAGGAGCGCCAGGCUCAGUCCCGGCUGCUCCACUUCUGAUCUGGCUCCCUGCUAACGUGCCUGGGAAAGCAGAAGAUGGCCCAUCUGCUUGGGCCCCUGCACCCACCUGGGAGACCCGGAUAGAACUCCUGGCUCCGGAUUAGCCCAACUCUGGCAGUUGUGGCCAUUUGGGGAGUGAACCAGCAGAUGGAAGACCUCUCUCCCCUCCCCCCACUUCCCUCUGUGUAACUCUUUCAAACAGCUAAAUCUUUAAAGAAAAUAAAAAACCCGGCAUUUGUAAUUC